rnacentral:rRNA from 1 species
GACGAACGCUGGCGGCGUGCCUAAUACAUGCAAGUCGAGCGGAAGUUGAAGAGCUUGCUCUUCAACUUUAGCGGCGGACGGGUGAGUAACACGUGGGCAACCUGCCCUGCAGAUCGGGAUAACUCCGGGAAACCGGUGCUAAUACCGAAUAGUUUUCGCCACCUCCUGGCGACGUACGGAAAGACGGUUUCGGCUGUCCCUGCAGGAUGGGCCCGCGGCGCAUUAGCUAGUUGGUGGGGUAACGGCCCACCAAGGCGACGAUGCGUAGCCGACCUGAGAGGGUGAUCGGCCACACUGGGACUGAGACACGGCCCAGACUCCUACGGGAGGCAGCAGUAGGGAAUCUUCCGCAAUGGACGAAAGUCUGACGGAGCAACGCCGCGUGAGUGACGAAGGUUUUCGGAUCGUAAAACUCUGUUGUGAGGGAAGAACAAGUACCACUUAACUACUGGUACCUUGACGGUACCUCACCAGAAAGCCAUGGCUAACUACGUGCCAGCCGCCGCGGUAA